GUGGGGAAUCUUAGACAAUGGGCGCAAGCCUGAUCCAGCCAUGCCGCGUGUGUGAAGAAGGUCUUCGGAUUGUAAAGCACUUUAAGUUGGGAGGAAGGGCAGUAAGUUAAUACCUUGCUGUUUUGACGUUACCAACAGAAUAAGCACCGGCUAACUUCGUGCCAGCAGCCGCGGUAAUACGAAGGGUGCAAGCGUUAAUCGGAAUUACUGGGCGUAAAGCGCGCGUAGGUGGUUUUGUAAGUUGGAGGUGAAAUCCCCGGGCUCAACCUGGGAACUGCCUCCAAAACUGCAUGACUAGAGUACGGUAGAGGGUAGUGGAAUUUCCUGUGUAGCGGUGAAAUGCGUAGAUAUAGGAAGGAACACCAGUGGCGAAGGCGACUACCUGGACUGAUACUGACACUGAGGUGCGAAAGCGUGGGGAGCAAACAGGAUUAGAUACCCCGGUAGUCC
rnacentral:rRNA from 1 species